rnacentral:rRNA from 1 species
CCUACGGGAGGCAGCAGUGGGGGAUAUUGCACAAUGGGGGAAACCCUGAUGCAGCGACGCCGCGUGAGUGAGGAAGUAUUUCGGUAUGUAAAGCUCUAUCAGCAGGGAAGAAAAUGAUGGUGCUUGACUAAGAAGCAGCGGCUAACUACGUGCCAGCAGCCGCGGCAAUACGAAGGGGGCAAGCGUUAUCCGGAUUUACUGGGUGUAAUGGGAGCGUAGACGGCUAAACAAGUCAGAAGUGAAAACCCGGGGCUCAACAUCGGGACUGCUUUUGAAACUGAGUAGCUAGAGUGCAGGAGGGGUAAGCGGAAUUCCUAGUGUAGCGGUGAAAUGCGUAGAUAUUAGGAGGAACACCAGUGGCGAAGGCGGCUUACUGGACUGUAACUGACGUUGAGGCUCGAAAGCGUGGGGAGCAAACAGGAUUAGAUACCCUAGUAGUC